AAAUUGAAGAGUUUGAUCAUGGCUCAGAUUGAACGCUGGCGGCAGGCCUAACACAUGCAAGUCGAACGGUAGCACAGAGAGCUUGCUCUCGGGUGACGAGUGGCGGACGGGUGAGUAAUGUCUGGGAAACUGCCCGAUGGAGGGGGAUAACUACUGGAAACGGUAGCUAAUACCGCAUAACGUCGCAAGACCAAAGUGGGGGACCUUCGGGCCUCACACCAUCGGAUGUGCCCAGAUGGGAUUAGCUAGUAGGUGGGGUAACGGCUCACCUAGGCGACGAUCCCUAGCUGGUCUGAGAGGAUGACCAGCCAC
rnacentral:rRNA from 1 species